UACGGAAGGCAGCAGUGGGGAAUAUUGCACAAUGGGCGAAAGCCUGAUGCAGCUAUGCCGCGUGUAUGAAGAAGGCCUUAGGGUUGUAAAGUACUUUCAUCGGGGAGGAAAAACAAAACUAAUAAUUUUAUUUCUUGACGUUACCCGAAAAAGAAGCACCGGCUAACUCCGUGCCAGCAGCCGCGGUAAUACGGAGGGUGCUAGCGUUAAUCAGAAUUACUGGGCGUAAAGAGCACGUAGGUGGUUUUUUUAAGUCAGAUGUGAAAUCCCUGGGCUUAGCCUAGGAACUGCAUUUUGAAACUGAAAUACUAGAGUAUCGUAGAGGGAGGUAGAAUUCUAGGUGUAGCGGUGAAAUGCGUAGAUAUCUGGAGGAAUACCUGUGGCGAAAGCGGCCUCUAAACGAAUACUGACACUGAGGUGCGAAAGCGUGGGGAGCAAACAGGGAUUAGAUACC
rnacentral:rRNA from 1 species